UCGAAUGAAAUCCAUAGAAGAAAAGAUAAUUAUAAAAUGAAUGAUCAAAGUUGUCCAAAAGGAAUGGUACCAAUUUUAAAGCAAAGAAAUGGAACUGAUAACGUUCAUCUCGACACGAUCGAGUAUCCUGGCCAACAUUUUGCAACAAUUGAGACUAUAUUGGAUGGGACCAUCUAUCGAGGAGCUGAAGCUUAUAUAAGUAUUCAUAAUUUAACUCUACAAAAUAACCAAUACAGUAAAAAUCAAAUUUGGUUAGAAAAUGGACCUCGCGGUCAACUCAAUAGCAUACAAGUUGGUUGGACGGUGCAUCCAAGAUUAUAUGGUGACAGUUUAACGCGACUUACAAUAUACUGGACUGUGAGUAAAAUAAUUGUUUUCUUAACUAUGUUUCUU